rnacentral:rRNA from 1 species
AGGGUUUGAUCAUGGCUCAGAACGAACGCUGGCGGCAGGCUUAACACAUGCAAGUCGAGCGCACCUUCGGGUGAGCGGCGGACGGGUUAGUAACGCGUGGGAACAUACCCUUUGGUACGGAAUAGCCUCUGGAAACGGAGAGUAAUACCGUAUGAGCCCUUCGGGGGAAAGAUUUAUCGCCAAAGGAUUGGCCCGCGUUAGAUUAGGUAGUUGGUGGGGUAAUGGCCUACCAAGCCUACGAUCUAUAGCUGGUUUUAGAGGAUGAUCAGCAACACUGGGACUGAGACACGGCCCAGACUCCUACGGGAGGCAGCAGUGGGGAAUCUUGGACAAUGGGGGCAACCCUGAUCCAGCCAUGCCGCGUGAGUGAUGAAGGCCUUAGGGUCGUAAAGCUCUUUCGCCUGUGAAGAUAAUGACGGUAGCAGGUAAAGAAACCCCGGCUAACUCCGUGCCAGCAGCCGCGGUAAUACGGAGGGGGUUAGCGUUGUUCGGAAUUACUGGGCGUAAAGCGCACGUAGGCGGACUGGAAAGUUGGGGGUGAAAUCCCAGGGCUCAACCCUGGAACUGCCUCCAAAACUAUCAGUCUAGAGUUCGAGAGAGGUGAGUGGAAUUCCGAGUGUAGAGGUGAAAUUCGUAGAUAUUCGGAGGAACACCAGUGGCGAAGGCGGCUCACUGGCUCGAUACUGACGCUGAGGUGCGAAAGUGUGGGGAGCAAACAGGAUUAGAUACCCUGGUAGUCCACACCGUANACGAUGAAUG